AACUUUUGGCAUAAUUAUUAAGAUACCAGUGCCAUGUUUUCUCAACAUCAUGUCACAUUAAUUACCCAUUAUUUACGAAUGAAUUUGCAUUUUCAGUUUACAUAACAUGCAAAAGAUCUCAUGCAUACAUUUCUCUCCAUUGUUGCAUUUUGUCGUAAGACUUUAAGACUUUUGUUCUAGCUGUAGUAAACAUUUUUACGUUAUUGAUAUGUUUUCAUCUAUGAACUCUGCUCAUUAUUAUACAAUACCAGUGAUCAUGGUUGUCAUUAAAUGUAGACUUUUUAUAAAAUAAAUUAAUAUAUCAAU
rnacentral:misc_RNA from 1 species